CAGCCGAAUAAUACAGAUUGUGGAGUGUUUGUUUGCAAGUAUACUGAGGCAAUUGUCUUUAACAAAAGAAUAGAUCUGCAGAGAAAUCCUGAAAUGUACAGGACAUGGCUUUUUCAAGAAAU